CAGCGCCGCGGGAAUACGAAGGGGGCCAGCGUUGCUCGGAAUGACUGGGCGUAAAGGGCGCGUAGGCGGAUUGUUUAGUUAGGCGUGAAAUUCCUGGGCUUAACCUGGGGACUGCGCUUAAUACAGGCAGUCUAGAGUGAGGAAGAGGGUUGUGGAAUUCCCAGUGUAGAGGUGAAAUUCGUAGAUAUUGAGAAGAACACCGGUGGCGAAGGCGGCAACCUGGUCCUUGACUGACGCUGAGGCGCGAAAGCGUGGGGAGCAAACAGGAUUAGAUACCCCAGUAGUCCCUGUCUCUUAUACA
rnacentral:rRNA from 1 species